rnacentral:rRNA from 1 species
UGCAGUCGAGCGAACAGAUAAGGAGCUUGCUCCUUUGACGUUAGCGGCGGACGGGUGAGUAACACGUGGGUAACCUACCUAUAAGACUGGGAUAACUUCGGGAAACCGGAGCUAAUACCGGAUAACAUUUGGAACCGCAUGGUUCUAAAGUGAAAGAUGGUUUUGCUAUCACUUAUAGAUGGACCCGCGCCGUAUUAGCUAGUUGGUAAGGUAACGGCUUACCAAGGCGACGAUACGUAGCCGACCUGAGAGGGUGAUCGGCCACACUGGAACUGAGACACGGUCCAGACUCCUACGGGAGGCAGCAGUAGGGAAUCUUCCGCAAUGGGCGAAAGCCUGACGGAGCAACGCCGCGUGAGUGAUGAAGGGUUUCGGCUCGUAAAACUCUGUUAUUAGGGAAGAACAAACGUGUAAGUAACUGUGCACGUCUUGACGGUACCUAAUCAGAAAGCCACGGCUAACUACGUGCCAGCAGCCGCGGUAAUACGUAGGUGGCAAGCGUUAUCCGGAAUUAUUGGGCGUAAAGCGCGCGUAGGCGGUUUCUUAAGUCUGAUGUGAAAGCCCACGGCUCAACCGUGGAGGGUCAUUGGAAACUGGGAAACUUGAGUGCAGAAGAGGAAAGUGGAAUUCCAUGUGUAGCGGUGAAAUGCGCAGAGAUAUGGAGGAACACCAGUGGCGAAGGCGACUUUCUGGUCUGUAACUGACGCUGAUGUGCGAAAGCGUGGGGAUCAAACAGGAUUAGAUACCCUGGUAGUCCACGCCGUAAACGAUGAGUGCUAAGUGUUAGGGGGUUUCCGCCCCUUAGUGCUGCAGCUAACGCAUUAAGCACUCCGCCUGGGGAGUACGACCGCAAGGUUGAAACUCAAAGGAAUUGACGGGGACCCGCACAAGCGGUGGAGCAUGUGGUUUAAUUCGAAGCAACGCGAAGAACCUUACCAAAUCUUGACAUCCUUUGAAAACUCUAGAGAUAGAGCCUUCCCCUUCGGGGGACAAAGUGACAGGUGGUGCAUGGUUGUCGUCAGCUCGUGUCGUGAGAUGUUGGGUUAAGUCCCGCAACGAGCGCAACCCUUAAGCUUAGUUGCCAUCAUUAAGUUGGGCACUCUAGGUUGACUGCCGGUGACAAACCGGAGGAAGGUGGGGAUGACGUCAAAUCAUCAUGCCCCUUAUGAUUUGGGCUACACACGUGCUACAAUGGACAAUACAAAGGGCAGCUAAACCGCGAGGUCAUGCAAAUCCCAUAAAGUUGUUCUCAGUUCGGAUUGUAGUCUGCAACUCGACUACAUGAAGCUGGAAUCGCUAGUAAUCGUAGAUCAGCAUGCUACGGUGAAUACGUUCCCGGGUCUUGUACACACCGCCCGUCACACCACGAGAGUUUGUAACACCCGAAGCCGGUGGAGUAACCAUUUAUGGAGCUAGCCGUCGAAGGUGGGACAAAUGA